AACGCGCUGACCCGGCCCGCGUGGUUAAUGAAUCACGGUGUGACACAGCCGCCAGGUCGGAUUUGAACCCAGGCCUCCAAGGAAAGUGUGACGUCAGGUGGCCAUGGAUCCCUGCAAGCUAGGUUAUAAAUGGAGCCCCUCCCUAGGCUUGCCUCUUUAUCCUCCCAACCAAUAUAUGGAGCAGGCACUGAAAUAAUCACAUGGCCUAGCCUGGCUGCUCACAGACGGGACAGCCGAGAGCAUUGGUUUCGCGAACAAGUCUUGUCCAACCAUCUCACUACACAGGAGCCCAGCGUCUUCCAGCAUGAGGAUGGCUUAUAGAAUAAAUACCUACCUGAAGAGCCUGUGCUCACUUUGGAGGAGAUGCCUGCGGGAGAUGCUUUGGGGCUGGGCCUUGAAGAAAUGGAUUUUCUCCAGGCAGAAAAGGAGCAGGAGGGAAUUCCAG